AUUGAACGCUGGCGGCAGGCCUAACACAUGCAAGUCGAGCGGAUGAAGGGAGCUUGCUCCUGGAUUCAGCGGCGGACGGGUGAGUAAUGCCUAGGAAUCUGCCUUGUAGUGGGGGAUAACGUCCGGAAACGGGCGCUAAUACCGCAUACGUCAUGAGGGAGAAAGUGGGGGAUCUUCGGACCUCACGCUAUCAGAUGAGCCUAGGUCGGAUUAGCUAGUUGGUGGGGUAAAGGCCUACCAAGGCGACGAUCCGUAACUGGUCUGAGAGGAUGAUCAGUCACACUGGAACUGAGACACGGUCCAGAAUCCUACGGGAGGCAGCAGUGGGGAAGAUUGGACAAUGGGCGAAAGCCUGAUCCAGCCAUGCCGCGUGUGUGAAGAAGGUCUUCGGAUUGUAAAGCACUUUAAGUUGGGAGGAAGGGCAGUAAGUUAAUACCUUGCUGUUUUGACGUUACCAACAGAAUAAGCACCGGCUAACUUCGUG
rnacentral:rRNA from 1 species